rnacentral:rRNA from 1 species
UACGUAGGGCGCAAGCGUUAUCCGGAAUUAUUGGGCGUAAAGAGCUCGUAGGCGGUUUGUCGCGUCUGCCGUGAAAGUCCGGGGCUCAACUCCGGAUCUGCGGUGGGUACGGGCAGACUAGAGUGAUGUAGGGGAGACUGGAAUUCCUGGUGUAGCGGUGAAAUGCGCAGAUAUCAGGAGGAACACCGAUGGCGAAAGCAGGUCUCUGGGCAUUAACUGACGCUGAGGAGCGAAAGCAUGGGGAGCGAACAGG